GGGGUCUUGGUACCGAGGAGGCGAGGAAUACACGAAACGAGCCAAAUUGGGAAAAGACUAGGAGACACAGCUUUUUUUAGCUCAACCGCCCCCCUCCCAAGUGUCUCUCCCUUUCCUGCACCUGAAUGUCCGUUCAGCGAGAAUUUAUCUUUGCAUCUAACAACACCCACAAGUGAACUUGAUGAAUCGUUUUGAGAAACGUAAUUAAUUGAAAUCUCAUAAAAGCUGCUUUUUCCGUGGCCUUGUGGUAGAGUGGGUUGGGCGUCCUCCAGCAAAGCGAAAGAUCGCGGAAUCAUUCCGGGUCAGGGCAUACGCGUGGAUUCGGGGCUCGUCCCGGAUGGGGCGCAGCCCGGUGGAGGCGGGUGGAUUCUUCUCUUUCACAUAGGAGGUUUCCCUCCCUGUCUUUCUCCCUCCCUUCCCGUCUCUCUAAGAAUAAGGCUUAGAGAAAAUUUUGCAUAAGAACACCAGGACCAAGAAAAGUACAAAAAUAUUCACAGGAGUAAUGACCAUCUGCAAUAUCUCAAAACUGGAAAUAUCUUAAAUGCCCAUUAAGAACAGAUUAGAAAAUAAAUUGUCAUGUUUUCAUGUAUCACAAUACUCAUGCGUCAGUAUGAUGAACCUCAGAGAUUCAUGUUUAAAAAGAGAAUAUGAGAUCAGAGAAAAAGAGAUUUCAAAACGUUUUGAAACAACACUCUAUUUAGUAAUUGCUGGAACCUAGCAAUAUGUUGCUGAAAACCACCCACAUCUCCCCAAAGUUUUAAACACAUGAAUACAAAAUAUAGUGUUUUCGGAGAGUCCUAGGUUGCAGGAAGAAGUCUGAGUUCUAAUCUGUGUUGGCACCAACUUUUAAAUCAAACAAAAACUUAUUAUGAAACCUAAUAUAUCAAAUGGAGCAAAGCAUAUUUGCUUUGAGGAAAGAUGGGACUGGGUCCAGAACUCUAAGGCAACUCUCAAGAAACUCAGGGCUCUG